rnacentral:rRNA from 1 species
AACGAACGCUGGCGGCGUGCUUAACACAUGCAAGUCGAACGCGAAAGGGACUUCGGUCCCGAGUAGAGUGGCGCACGGGUGAGUAACGCGUAAGUAAUCUACCCCUGUAUCUGGAAUAACCCACCGAAAGGUGAGCUAAUACCGGAUACGUUUAUCUUGAUGCGAAUGAUGAUAAAGAAAGGUGGCCUCUUCAUGAAAGCUACCGUACAGGGACGAGCUUGCGUACCAUUAGCUGGUUGGUAGGGUAAUGGCCUACCAAGGCGACGAUGGUUAGCGGGUCUGAGAGGAUGAUCCGCCACACUGGAACUGAAACACGGACCAGACUCCUACGGGAGGCAGCAGUGAGGAAUAUUGCGCAAUGGGGGCAACCCUGACGCAGCGACGCCGCGUGGACGAUGAAGGCCCUUGGGUCGUAAAAUCCUGUCAGAUGGAAAGAAAUGUACAGGUGUUAAUAUCGCCUGUAUUUGACGGUACCAUCAAAGGAAGCACCGGCUAACUCCGUGCCAGCAGCCCGCGGUAAUACGGAGG